CAUGCGGAUUUUAGAAAGGUGAAAUAACUAUGAAAGAAAGCCCUAGGUCGGUUCUCAAAACGCUUCUGAUCGGCGCUGUAGCGAUAGUUGGUUUCGGCUUAGGG
rnacentral:misc_RNA from 1 species